UACGUAGGCAGCGAGCGUUGUUCGGAAUUACUGGGCGUAAAGGGCGCGUAGGCGGCCCGCUAAGUCGAACGUGAAAUCCCCGAGCUCAACUCGGGAACUGCGUCCGAUACUGGCGGGCUUGAAUCCGGGAGAGGGAUGCGGAAUUCCAGGUGUAGCGGUGAAAUGCGUAGAUAUCUGGAGGAACACCGGUGGCGAAGGCGGCAUCCUGGACCGGCAUUGACGCUGAGGCGCGAAAGUUAGGGGAGCAAACGGG
rnacentral:rRNA from 1 species